CAUGGCCAGGCUUGGAAAUGAGCCUCACCUGUGGGAGGAUCCAAGAGAGCCUGACUCUAUAAAAUAGCAAAACUGUGACUGUCUAGCUUGUACUUUGGCUGCCUGAUUGGCUACAGGGAUGAUAACUGGAAGGACUACAAAUCACUGACUAAGACUUUGCUGGAUCCAUGGGGUGAAAAAGCUUACCCAGCCACAGUAUUUGUUCAAAAACCCAAAUUUGAUAUUCAGGUUCACUGGAGGAAUGAGGAAUGCCUUAACAAGUACUGGAAAGCUGUACACUGAACAAAACUAAUACGCAAGGGCAGUAAGGGCCAUUGAAGCAGGUUUGUGAGAUUCAAAAACAUCCUCAGCUGCUGAGCCUGAUCCAAAGGUCACUGAAAGUCAACAAAUGGCCAUUUAUGAUGUCAAAAGAUAUUUUGAAAUGUACCUCCCAGAGCAUCUGUAGAUGUUGAUUUGAUUAUGUAACACACUGACUCCUGCUCUUUGGUACACAAGAUGAAUGCUAAAAUUUUUUUCUGCUUUAAGAUAAAAAAUCCUUCUGCCUGUCUCUCCAAUGCCUUGCGUAUCUCAAGAGCUAGAAUUUUGUUCAAUUCUAUGUAAACUGUAUUUGAAAGUACUUGAUAGCUCCACCACUUGUAGUCACAGCAUAUACCAUAUCCAGACCAAUGUGCUGACCACCCUUAAAUCUGUGACCAGGUUUCCAAGCAAACUACUUAGCCUGAAGUAACAGACUGGAAGUUCCAGUUAAUCUGUACAUGGUGGGAUGGGCAAGGAAUGUUCCAGUAUGAAGCAGGUUAGAAUGCUGCACUGGGUAGACAUACCUCAAUCAGUCUGUUGAAAUAAAAUACACAAACACAGGAACUGUAUGUUUUACUGAUGCUCCCCCUGCCCAACACCUUAGCAAAAACUAUUUUAACUUCUCGUAAGAGAAAAUCCACUAUCUUCUGAAAACCAACUGACAACAGGCUAAAU